GUGACGGAAGUGGGGUGGUGAGCGCCGGCGGGUCGCGCCCACCCUGGGCCGGGAGUCGAAAUGCUUCCCGGUGCCGGGAGUGAGCGAUGAGCUGGCUUCUGUUCCUGGCCCACAAAGUCGCCUUGGUCGCCGUGCCCUGCCGCCGCGGCUCUCGCGGGUUCGGGAUGUUCUAUGCCGUGAGGAGGGGCCGCAAGACCGGGGUCUUUCUGACCUGGAAUGAGUGCAGAGCACAGGUGGACCGGUUUCCUGCUGCCAGAUUUAAGAAGUUUGCCACAGAGGAUGAGGCCUGGGCCUUUGUCAGGAAAUCUGCAAGCCCGGAAGUUUCAGAAGAGUCUCUGUUGCCCAGGCUGGAGUGCAGUGGCACAAUCUUGGCUCACUACAGUCUCUGCCUCCUGCGUUCAAGCGAUUCUCCUGCUUCAGCUUCCAGAGUAGCUGGGAUUACAGGGCGUGAAAAUCAACAUGGACAAGAAUCGGAUGCGAAAGCCAUCAAGCGACUCCGUGAGCCACUGGAUGGAGAUGGACAUGAAAGCGCAGAGCCGUAUGCAAAGCACAUGAAGCCGAGCGUGGAGCCGGCGCCUCCAGUUAGCAGAGACAUGUUUUCCUACAUGGGAGACUUCGUCGUCGUCUACACUGAUGGCUGCUGCUCCAGUAAUGGGCGUAGAAGGCCGCGAGCAGGAAUCGGCGUUUACUGGGGGCCGGGCCAUCCUUUAAAUGUAGGCAUUAGACUUCCUGGGCGGCAGACAAACCAAAGAGCGGAAAUUCAUGCAGCCUGCAAAGCCAUUGAACAAGCAAAGACUCAAAACAUCAAUAAACUGGUUCUGUAUACAGACAGUAUGUUUACGAUAAAUGGUAUAACUAACUGGGUUCAAGGUUGGAAGAAAAAUGGGUGGAAGACAAGUGCAGGGAAAGAGGUGAUCAACAAAGAGGACUUUGUGGCACUGGAGAGGCUGACCCAGGGGAUGGACAUUCAGUGGAUGCAUGUUCCUGGUCAUUCGGGAUUUAUAGGCAAUGAAGAAGCUGACAGAUUAGCCAGAGAAGGAGCUAAACAAUCGGAAGACUGAGCCAUGUGACUUUAGUCCUUGGGAGAACUUGAGCCAGUGGCUGUCUUGCUGCCUGUACUUACUGGUGUGGAAAAUAGCCUGCAGGGGCACUCUCCCGGGACAGGCCACACACCAGCCUCUGCGAGCCAGGAAGGAGCCUCCCCAGAAACGGAACCAGCGGGAACCUUGACCUGAGACUUGCAGCCUCCAGAACUGUGAGAAAAUAGAUUUCUGUUGUUUCAAGCCCCCGAGCCUGUGGUAUUCUGUCCCAGCAGCCUGAGCAGGCUGAAAUGGGAGGAAACUGCAGCCGAGUCAGCUCCUCCGACUCUAGGCCGACCGUUCUUCACUGUAUGACAUGUGACUCACCAGAUAAAGCCACACACGUCAUUCUUUUAAAAUUCUCUACUCUGUCCCAAGUUCUUGUCCCACAUCCAGAAGAAUAAGGUUAUGCAGACAACCAGAGAGUGAGCAGGGCAGAAAAAAACUUCUUGCAUGUUGGAACAGCUCCCAGUGUUGAGGGGACCUGAGAGUGGGCAGCCACUACCUGAAGGCGAGUAGUCUCUACCCAAAGGUGGUAGUCCCUGCUGUGUGUCUGAGUCCAGGGUUUUUAUGGGCUCAGAAAGGGGGAGUGUGUGCUGAUUGGCCCAUGGGCAGGCCAAGAAAAAAAUCACCAUUCGAUUGGCUAAAAGGUCGUGGACUUAACCUGGAACUGGCAGCCUGGUUUUCCAGCUUCAGGCUGUCUUUGGCUUGAAGGUCGGGUUUCACUGGGGACCUGCCCCAGUCUGCCUAGGAAUCUGCCUUCUGCUACUAUCAGAGGGACCACGCUUCGCUUAUCCAGUUGUCAUUCACAGACCCUGCAUUGUCUCUGCCUCUUGGGCUUUGUGAAGAAUGCUGCUGUGAACAGGGGAGUGCCCCUGCCUGUUUGGGUCCCUGCUUUCCAUUUCUUUGGGAGGUACGUGGAGAGGAGAUUGCGGGGUCAUGUGGUCAUUCUGUUUGGCUCUCGGAGGAGCAGGCAUCCUGUUUUCCACAGCAGCUCUGCCAUCAAAUGGCACUUUCUUAGUGACACGUCCCGUAUCUCUCCCCAUAAAUGUAUCUCUCCCCGUAAACAUUGCAACUCCUGGCUCACUUUCCUUCUCCUGUAACUUGUCACUGUGAAACUCUCAGGUGUGCCUGAGCCGACUCGUAGCAGCCCAGGAGAGCCAGCAGUGAGGCCCCUUCCCCGCUCCGUGGUCAGUGCCUUCACACAGGGAGUUUGGAGGUGGCUGUAGUGGGAGGACUCACACCGCAGAAAUCAGCCAGUGCUGCAGGUCAGGGGCCGCCAUCCCCCAGAGCUGCUGUGAGACAUCGACCAGCACAUCAGUGGGCUGCUUUCUGCUGGUUUUAUUUCUCUUGGAACAGAACCAGACUUCUGGCCGGGGCUCAGUCAGUGCUUGCAAGAUGUUUGUUGGCACCAGGCUGUGCCAGGAGAGCAUCAUAAACUGCUGAUCUACUGUUUCUUUGUCAAACGGGAGGAGAUAACAUGAGGGUCAUGAGAAAUGUUUGCAGACGGAGUGAAUGCCUUGAAAGUGCUGCGACCAGGUGCUGACACCCGGAGGUCUGGCUGCUCGAAGUGUUAGCUGACACGGAAGAUACAUGGACUUUCCCUCCAUUCCCCAAAACUCCCCCUCCCUGACUCGUCAGCUGCAUAAAAACCCUCUCCUUAUUUCUUUGUCAAGGGGAUUUGAGAAAUCUUGCUGUCUUGUCUUCUUGCUUUGGCCAAAUGGAAUAAACCUUUCUCUGUCUCCAGA